GGGAUGAUCAGGUGGAGGCAGUUUAUGGUCACUGCAGAGGGAUGAUCAGGUGGAGGUGGUUUAUGGUCACUGCAGAGGGAUGAUCAGGCGGAGGCAGUUCAUGGUCUCUGCAGAGGGAUGAUCAGGCAGAGGCGGUUCAUGGUCACUACAGAGGGAUGAUCAGGCGGAGGUGGAUUAUGGUCACUGCAGAGGGAUGAUCAGGCGGAGGCAGUUCAUGGUCACUGCAGAGGGAUGAUCAGGCGGAGGCGAUUCAUGGUCACUGCAGAGGGAUGAUCAGGUGGAGGCAGUUCAUGGUCUCUGCAGAGGGACGAUCAGGCGGAGGCGGUUUAUGGUCACUGCAGAGGGACGAUCAGGCGGAGGCAGUUCAUGGUCACUGCAGAGGGACGAUCAGGCGGAGGCGGAUUAUGGUCACUGCAGAGGGAUGAUCAAGUGGAGGCGAUUCAUGGUCACUGCAGAGGGACGAUCAGGUGGAGGCGGUUCA